CAUAUCAAUAAGCGGAGGAAAAGAAACUAACAAGGAUUCCCCUAGUAACUGCGAGUGAAGCGGGAAAAGCUCAAAUUUAAAAUCUGGCAGCCUUUGGUUGUCCGAGUUGUAAUCUAGAGAAGUGUUAUCCGCGCUGGACCGUGUACAAGUCUCCUGGAAUGGAGCGUCAUAGAGGGUGAGAAUCCCGUCUUUGACACGGACUGCCAGGGCUUUGUGAUGCGCUCUCAAAGAGUCGAGUUGUUUGGGAAUGCAGCUCAAAAUGGGUGGUAAAUUCCAUCUAAAGCUAAAUAUUGGCGAGAGACCGAUAGCGAACAAGUACCGUGAGGGAAAGAUGAAAAGAACUUUGGAAAGAGAGUUAAACAGUACGUGAAAUUGCUGAAAGGGAAACGCUUGAAGUCAGUCGCGUUGUUUGGGAAUCAACCUUGCUUUUGCUGGGCGUACUUUCCAGAUGACGGGCCAGCAUCAAUUUUGACCGUUGGAUAAAGGCUGGAGGAAUGUGGCAUCUUCGGAUGUGUUAUAACCUCUGGUCGCAUACAACGGUUGGGAUUGAGGAACUCAGCACGCCGCAAGGCCGGGUACUUGUACCACGUUCGUGCUUAGGAUGCUGGCAUAAUGGCUUUAAUCGACCCGUCUUGAAACACGGACCAAGGAGUCUAACAUGCCUGCGAGUAUUUGGGUGGAAAACCCGAGUGCGUAAUGAAAGUGAAAGUUGAGAUCCCUGUCGCGGGGAGCAUCGACGCCCGGACCAGACCUUUUGUGACGGAUCUGCGGUAAAGCAUGUAUGUUGGGACCCGAAAGAUGGUGAACUAUGCCUGAAUAGGGUGAAGCCAGAGGAAACUCUGGUGGAGGCUCGUAGCGAUUCUGACGUGCAAAUCGAUCGUCAAAUUUGGGUAUAGGGGCGAAAGACUAAU
rnacentral:rRNA from 1 species